UGAAUGGAGACAAGUUCCAUGACAUGACCAGCUAAUAAGCACAAGGCUGAAUCCGCUGGCACAGUGGUCUCUGGCCACCACCACGGUUAUAGUAUGUCCUUUGCAAGUCUGAAAAUUCUGACCAAGGGAGCAGGUCUUUAUGCCACCCCCUCUCUUGCUGGUAUAGGUAACUUGUAACUUGUGCCCGCUCACCUGAGGAGCAGCACCGAGCCACGGUGCAGGGGUCAGCAGGCCUGGUAAACGAACCUGAAUCUGCUCUGCUGGAACAUGGAUAAUGUGGGGCGGCCUGUCGCCAUGGUGAUGCACCGCGUUGCUCUCCUGUUCAUAAAUGGCAUCACGUUCUGGCUGAGGAAGACUGAGGAACCUUCGGAUCAUGGAGAGGUUCUCCCACAGAGUCCUGUUUUCUGGAGAAGGAUCUUCUUUCCAGCGUAACAGCUCACACAACCACCCCUUAGAGACAAGGGCAUAAUAGGGGAAAAAGUACCCCAAUGAUGACUAGAGCUUUGAUGAAGAAUGAGAGAACAAAUGCUAUCAUAUAGAGUUGUGAUGCCUACAGGAAGCAGAUAAAUAUGAUGUCUAAUUUAGCCUAUGGAACUUCCUGACAGGUGUGCUGGGAACAAAGAAAUUCCAACAUACAAAAAUAAAAGUUUUCUAACAUGGAAAACUAGUGGAUGGUUUUUUAGAAUGUUUACGAAAUCUUUCCCUUGCUAAGGAACAAGUCAAGUUUCCUUUCUGUGGUGAGCUCUACCAAUGACUGCAAAAAUGUGAUUCAAUUUGCAUGCUGGCUUAUCCUUAACAUACCUUGAAGUAGCUGUGCAAAGACUUCAGGGUCAUUAAAGCAAAGGAAGUUGCAAUUAAGU